rnacentral:rRNA from 1 species
AUUGAACGCUGGCGGCAGGCCUAACACAUGCAAGUCGAACGAGUGGCGGACGGGUGAGUAAUGCCUGGGAAUCUGCUUGGUGGUGGGGGAUAACUACUGGAAACGGUAGCUAAUACCGCAUACCAUCGGAUGAGCCCAGAUGGGAUUAGCUAGUAGGCGGGGUAAAGGCUCACCUAGGCGACGAUCCGUAGCUGGUCUGUGAGGAUGACCAGCCACGCUGGAACUGAGACACGGUCCAGACUCCUACGGGAGGCAGCAGUGGGGAAUAUUGCACAAUGGGCGCAAGCCUGAUGCAGCCAUGCCGCGUGUAUGAAGAAGGCCUUCGGGUUGUAAAGUACUUUCAGCGGGAAAGCGGUACCCGAAGAAGAAGCACCGGCUAACUCCGUGCCAGCAGCCGCGGUAAUUC